GGCAAUUGAAUGACCUCCCUUGUUUUUCCAGGCGCCGCUUCAUUUUCUCUCUCUCUUCUUCCGCAUUGUCUCUCUUUACCUUCGAAUUCUCUCCAAGGCGAUUUUUCGCGAUCUGCACUCUUCGCUUGCGCUCAUUGAUUUGUCAAAUUCUUCGAUUUUGAUCUUCAAUUACUUCGUAUUCUUCGAUUUUUGUCAUUCAUUGAGAGUAAUCCAAUGUCAGACACACAAGUUGGUGCUGCAAUGUCAAUUUCUUGGUUUGGUACCACCACAUGCUUUCAACUGCUAGUUCAUCCAAGGUAGUGAUUGUGCGGGCUGGGUGUCGUGGCUCAAAACAAGAUGGAUAGAUUGUGUGGACUGCUUUAUGAUGCAUGUCAGAUAUGCAGCAGAGCAAGGUUUAGGCUCCUUGUGGCUCGUACAUUGGAUGUGAAGCGAAUAUGGUUGGAAGGAGAUGUAAUUUUUGUGUUUUUUAGGUUAAUGCUAGCACUAGAACUGCUGUUAGAAGUUCUGUAAACUACAUUAAUAUCAAAUGUAAGAGUAAAGUCUCAGUUUUCAGGGAUCUCUAGUCCAGUGCAUUUCAAUUUGUUUUGUGUACGGUAAAAAUGUGCUUUGAUUUCAAACUUUUUGUUAUCUAAGAAAACUAAAACUUCUCUUUGUUAGUUUGUCACAAUAUGGAAAUUUUUAGAUGAGUGUCC